GACGAACGCUGGCGGCGUGCUUAACACAUGCAAGUCGAACGGAAAGGCCCUGCUUUUGUGGGGUGCUCGAGUGGCGAACGGGUGAGUAACACGUGAGUAACCUGCCCUUGACUUUGGGAUAACUUCAGGAAACUGGGGCUAAUACCGGAUAGGAGCUCCUGCUGCAUGGUGGGGGUUGGAAAGUUUCGGCGGUUGGGGAUGGACUCGCGGCUUAUCAGCUUGUUGGUGGGGUAGUGGCUUACCAAGGCUUUGACGGGUAGCCGGCCUGAGAGGGUGACCGGCCACAGUGGGACUGAGAUACGGCCCAGACUCCUACGGGAGGCAGCAGUGGGGAAUAUUGCACAAUGGGCGGAAGCCUGAGGCAGCAACGCCGCGUGCGGGAUGACGGCCUUCGGGUUGUAAACCGCUUUCGCCUGUGACGAAGCGUGAGUGACGGUAAUGGGUAAAGAAGCACCGGCUAACUACGUG
rnacentral:rRNA from 1 species